rnacentral:misc_RNA from 1 species
UUGAAACUUCUUUGGAGAUAAGUACUGUUGCUGGCCUUGUAAUGAGGCAUGUGCACGUCUAUCUCUAAUCUAUUCAUCCACCUGUGCACUUUUUGUAGGAGUUCUUUGAAGGUUGGAUUGUGUAGGCUGAAAGGCUUGUACAAUGUUGACUCUAGAAGGCUUCUAUGUCUUACAAACCUAUUGAAGUAUGUUCAGAAUGUCUUUUAUUGGGACUUAAUUGGCCCUUUAAACUUUAUA